rnacentral:rRNA from 1 species
UUAAUUUGAGAGUUUGAUCCUGGCUCAGGACGAACGCUGGCGGCGUGCCUAAUACAUGCAAGUCGAACGAACUCUGGUAUUGAUUGGUGCUUGCAUCAUGAUUUACAUUUGAGUGAGUGGCGAACUGGUGAGUAACACGUGGGAAACCUGCCCAGAAGCGGGGGAUAACACCUGGAAACAGAUGCUAAUACCGCAUAACAACUUGGACCGCAUGGUCCGAGUUUGAAAGAUGGCUUCGGCUAUCACU